rnacentral:rRNA from 1 species
UACAGAGGUCUCAAGCGUUGUUCGGAUUCAUUGGGCGUAAAGGGUGCGUAGGCGGCGCGGUAAGUCGGGUGUGAAAUCUCGGGCUUAACUCCGAACUGCAUUCGAUACUGCCGUGCUUGAGGACUGGAGAGGAGACUGGAAUUUACGGUGUAGCGGUGAAUGCGUAGAUAUCGUAAGGAGACCAGUGGCGAAGGCGGUCUCUGGACAGUUCCUGACGCUGAGGCACGAAGGUCAGGGAGCAAACG